rnacentral:tRNA from 1 species
GCGAGUAUGGAGAAAUGGCGUCUUGUUGGGUUCAUAUCCCGAAUAACGGUAGGUUCGAAUCCUACACUCGCA